UUCCAGACUCCUACGGGAGGCAGCAGUGAGGAAUAUUGGUCAAUGGGCUUACGCCUGAACCAGCCAAGUCGCGUGAGGGAAGACUGCCCUAUGGGUUGUAAACCUCUUUUGUCAGGGAGCAACGCUGGCUACGUGUAGCCGGACUGAGAGUACCUGAAGAAAAAGCAUCGGCUAACUCCGUGCCAGCAGCCGCGGUAAUACGUAGGGGGCGAGCGUUAUCCGGAUUCACUGGGUGUAAAGGGAGCGUAGACGGCCAAGCAAGCCAGGGGUGAAAGCCCGGGGGCCAACCCCGGGACUGCCCUUGGAACUGCAUGGCUGGAGUGCGGGAGGGGCAGGCGGAAUUCCUGGUGUAGCGGUGAAAUGCGUAGAUAUCAGGAGGAACACCGGCGGCGAAGGCGGCCUGCUGGACCGCGACUGACGUUGAGGCUCGAAAGCGUGGGGAGCGAACAGGAUUAGAUACCCCAGUA
rnacentral:rRNA from 1 species